UACGUAGGGUGUAAGCGUUAAUCGGAAUUACUGGGCGUAAAGCGUGCGCAGGCGGUUUUGUAAGUCAGAUGUGAAAUCCCCGGGCUUAACCUGGGAACUGCGUUUGAAACUACAAGGCUAGAGUGUGACAGAGGGGGGUGGAAUUCCACGUGUAGCAGUGAAAUGCGUAGAGAUGUGGAGGAACACCGAUGGCGAAGGCAGCCCCCUGGGUUAACACUGACGCUCAGGCACGAAAGCGUGGGGAGCAAACAGG
rnacentral:rRNA from 1 species